GGCAAAGGUCUCUGUAGUUGUACAAGGCCAGAAAGGAAAAGCAGUUAUUUACUUAGUCAUUUGCCAAUAUGAAAAGGGACCAGAGGUUACGAGAGGAGGAUGUAGCUAAGAAUUAAAAGUCAACAACUUUGAAUUAAAGUUAUCAUAGUGCAUGUCAGAGAAAUUCUUUGCCAAGCUUAAGUGUGGUUUUUGUCAACAUACCAGCAGAGGUGCUGAAAAUAGCAGCUACAAGGUUAUCCGGGGAAAACAAAGGAAUUGAACAAGUUCAAAGUAUGUGUGCCAGUUAGGAGUCCUGAAGACGAUGAAGCUUUUAUCCCUUAUCUCAGACCACUUGUUGCUCUGUGUCUUCCUGAGUCUACUCUGGGGCACAACUGACUCCAAUACAACAAUCACAUCAACAGUGACGACGACAGUGACAGCAGGACAGAAAAGUACAGCAAAAACAGAAACAAGCACAAGACUAAGAACCAAUCUGCUGACAGGUACAACACAAAAAACCUCUCCACUAACUCAAACAACACAAACAUUUACUCCACUGGCUCAAACAAAUCCCACUCCACAGACUUCAACAGAACAAACAACUACAUCUACAACAGCAAAAGCCCAUAAUGUUGACAGAGUGGAUGUGACCACACAAAAUGAGAACAGUAUAACUCUGACCUGGAACAAGGUUAACAACAUCCCAACAUACAUCCUGCAAUAUGGUAAUAUAAGAGAAGAUAUUUAUAAACCUGAAGAAGGACCCAUAGUACAUGUGGUCACUUCUCUGACUGCUGGGACAAACUACACAUUCACUCUCUUCACCAUGUCUGAGGGACUCAACAGCAGUGGAUACAGAUUCAGUGCUGUGACAGCUCCUCGUAAUGCUGACGACUUUAAGAAAAAUGGACAAGAUGAGACCAGCAUAACUCUGGAGUGGAAAACAGUCCCCAACAUCGACAAAUACAUUCUUGCAUUUAAUGAAAGAGAGAUCAAUAUUAGUAAUUCUGAAAACGAAUACAGAGUGUUAAAUUUGACCAGUGGAACCAGAUACACUUUCACUCUCUUCACUGUGUUUGGAAAUGUCAGAAGCAGUGGAGUAAACUGCAUCACAGUCACUGGUAAGAUAUAUUUUCUCUAACAUAGACAGAUAAACCAGGAUGGACCAGCUCAUUAGUACUUGAAACUUUAGCUGAUGGAGAGUUGUUGUUUUUUUUUUUGUGUGUUUUUUUUAAUCAAAGCCACUUUCCUCUGUUAUCUUUAGCUCCACAAAGUGUUAAUAAUGUGACUGUGGUGCAUCAAAAUGAGAUGAGUAUACCACUGGAGUGGAACAAGGUUAAAAACAUCCCAGAAUACAUCCUACAGAAUAAUAACAUAAACAUUUGUCAAAUUUUCCAACUUGAAUAUGUCAAAUACUAACCCGACCUAUAAUCCUAGACUGCUUACUGCUAACCUGUUGGAGGUUAACAGAUUAAAAACAUCUAAAACAGUCAUAGUCCUUUAAAAUGUUCCACAGUUGAUGCUCCUCUACAACAUGAACAAGGGCAGAGCUCUAUAAUGAUGUUUAAGGUUUCUCAGAAACAGA
ensembl:lncRNA